rnacentral:lncRNA from 1 species
AAGCCUGGGCUCUGCAGCUCCAGCACGGACACAGCCCACCCGUGGUCCAAACCUCGCCCUGUACACUUGCUGGGAAACUGGGCAGUUACCAGCUCCAUCGAGUGUUGUGCCCAAGGAGACUCUAUCACCAGAAGGGUGUUAAGUCGAGAGUAGCUGUUCACCGAGAUUCCUGUUUGCUCUCAUUACUGCCGAAUUGCAAGAGCGGAAGGUGCAAACUCCCCACCUGGACCGUUGGGCGUGAUGGUAACGCUGCUAUGUAGCUACGGGGGGGGGCACGUCACCAUCUAAAAGCCACUGGCUCAACAUGUGUGCCACGCUGAAAGACAGGCCCCUAGCCCUGCAGGAGGCUGUCCCCAAGCUGGCUUCCUACAGGUGUCCACCCAGAAGGUGGGUUGCUUCUCCCUCCAGGAUGCAGGGCUCUGCCCUAACCAACUUGCCACCAGCAUCGGGUUAGAAGCAGCCUCGGCCGUGGGUGAGAGGGGGUCCACGCUGCAGGUCUCUUGCACACCUCCAUCCCCGCCACCACGACCGCACUGUCCACACGGCCCAUGGCCCUCUGUGCAGGGCGAUGGCGGGGCAGGCAGAGCCUGGCCUGGCUGCCCUCAGCUACAGACACCACCUGAGCACCGGUUGCCAAGCGCCCCUUUACUGAUGCUCCCUGAAAGAUUGAGAGGGGAUCACAGGCCCUUCCCUACUCCCUGGCAACCCCUCAUCCCAUCUCGCCCCUUCCAGACCCCCACUGAGGAGCCCAGCCACCCAGCACUGCCCACACAUCUGUGCACAGAGGCGGUAGGCCAGCUUCUCCGCCCUGUCUGCCCUUCGCCCUGGCAGGAGCUGGGCUGGAGCCAGGCAGCAGGCCAUUGUUGGUUCACAUCGAAUUAUCCAGCAAACCCAUUCGUAAACCACGUCCAGAGGCCCUGGGAGUUAAGACUUGAACCUACCUUUGAGGGGAGAAAGCUCAACCCACAAGCAAGAUCAUGGCUCGGAAACACCCACCAGAGGCCGAGCUUCCUGUCACGCGACAUCAGAGCAAACGCGAAAUCUCAGGGUGUCUCUUGCCUCGGCACCAGACUCGUCCCAACACACCCAUGACGGGUCCACCGUCAUCCUCACUGGUCCCAGCAGCCGUCCGUAACCCCCUCCCAGGUUCCAGACUUCGGGUGGGGUCGGGUGGGGGGACAAGCUUGACAGUCCCUGGUACUUAUCCCUGGAGCCCUGUUCGUGUCAGCUGUGUGAACCGUUGUGUUGGACAGGCGGAGUGUUCGGGACCAAACAGCCUUUCAAAGAUGGAGACGUGGUCCCCUCCGAGGCAAAGGACGAAGUUGAUUGCUGACCAGCAGGUUGAAAAUAACAGCAGAGUUGGAGUUCCCAUCAUGGCACAGGGGAAACAAACCUGACCAGAAUGUAUCUCUUAAUGAACAAGAAUUGAGCGUUUGUUGGCCACUGACCAUGGUUAGUCAAUGAAGCCUUUAAAUCUCUGCUUUUCAAAGUUUGCUAAGAUUUAAAUGUCCCAUGAACAUACAAGGAUGAAUACGCUUGGCUCAAGAGAUUAUAUGCUUAUAUUUAUUAGGUUGCAAAAACAGUCCAGAGAGCUCCCGUGUGGACUUCACACAGCUUCCUUCGGUGAAAACGUCUCACGGAGCCGGAGGGCAGUCCAGCGAGGGGGCUGACGACGGUAUAAACUGCAGACAGUGUUUGGAUUUUGCCGGGUUUCACAGGUACCUUCGUGCUGCGUCUGUCAACUCCAGCCGGAGUCACCACCACGGGGUCAGGCUCCGGAGCUGCUCCCGUCCCCUGGAGUCUCACCCCGACCCCUGAGCUUUUGUCUCAUCGCCACCUUCUAUGUUGGAUCUGUCCAGGUCUCGAAGGUGUAACUGCUAAUGUUGGUUUUCCCUAAAUCUCAAAUCCUUACAAAAUCUUGUAUGAGAUGCUCAAAGCGCAGGUUGAUUGAAAACUUUUAUCUUUCAUAAAUCGGGCUUGAAUCCGCUCCUAAUGUUCAUCUUCCUCCUGAUUUUACUUCUUUUACCCUUGUUUUCAGUGGGUCUGAUGCUAUCCUUCCAGUCCUAUUUUUAUGACUCUUUACCUGGAAUCUUCAUUUUCAGCCUUUAUUCGUCUCCUGAAGUUAAAUUGUGUAGAGAGCAUAAGCAGGUUUACUUUUUAUGCUUCAUGGAAGGGUCUUUUUUUUUUUUAAAUAAGAAAACAAAUCCAUUCACAUUUAGUGUACUGACAGAUAGACUUUUCUUUGUUCCCGUUAUUUUAAAUAAGUUAUUUUUUAUUUGACAUUGCUGUUUUCUAUUUUCCUUUUCCAUGUGUUUGUUGGUGUGUUCAAAGGUCUCUUCACUCAAUUUUUUGGUCCCAUUUUAUUUUUUUAAUUUUUAUUUUGUUUUAUUUUGCUUUUUAUGGCCAGACUAUGGAAGUGCCCAGGCGAGGGGUCACAUUGGAGCUGCAGCUACCAGCCUAGGCCACAGUCACACCACGGGAUCCUUAACCCACUGAGCAAGGCCAGGGAUCGAACCCACAUCCUCAUGGAUACCAGUCAGGUUCGUCUCCACUGAGCCACAACGGGAACUCCUGUCCUUUGUUUCUUUAAAUUUUAAAAAAUUGCAGCAUGGUUUGCACUUAAUAAAUGGUUGUCUUUCCUUUCUUGG